rnacentral:rRNA from 1 species
CCCCUACGGGGGGCAGCAGUGGGGAAUAUUGCACAAUGGGCGCAAGCCUGAUGCAGCCAUGCCGCGUGUAUGAAGAAGGCCUUCGGGUUGUAAAGUACUUUCAGCAGUGAGGAAGGGGUGUGUGUUAAUAGCGCACAUCUUUGACGUUAGCUGCAGAAGAAGCACCGGCUAACUCCGUGCCAGCAGCCGCGGUAA